CCGGGCUCACGAUGAACGCUAGCUACAGGCUUAACACAUGCAAGUCGAGGGGCAGCAUGGUCUUAGCUUGCUAAGGCCGAUGGCGACCGGCGCACGGGUGAGUAACACGUAUCCAACCUGCCGUCUACUCUUGGACAGCCUUCUGAAAGGAAGAUUAAUACAAGAUGGCAUCAUGAGUCCGCAUGUUCACAUGAUUAAAGGUAUUCCGGUAGACGAUGGGGAUGCGUUCCAUUAGAUAGUAGGCGGGGUAACGGCCCACCUAGUCUUCGAUGGAUAGGGGUUCUGAGAGGAAGGUCCCCCACAUUGGAACUGAGACACGGUCCAAACUCCUACGGGAGGCAGCAGUGAGGAAUAUUGGUCAAUGGGCGAGAGCCUGAACCAGCCAAGUAGCGUGAAGGAUGACUGCCCUAUGGGUUGUAAACUUCUUUUAUAAAGGAAUAAAGUCGGGUAUGGAUACCCGUUUGCAUGUACUUUAUGAAUAAGGAUCGGCUAACUCCGUGCCAGCAGCCGCGGUAAUACGGAGGAUCCGAGCGUUAUCCGGAUUUAUUGGGUUUAAAGGGAGCGUAGAUGGAUGUUUAAGUCAGUUGUGAAAGUUUGCGGCUCAACCGUAAAAUUGCAGUUGAUACUGGAUAUCUUGAGUGCAGUUGAGGCAGGCGGAAUUCGUGGUGUAGCGGUGAAAUGCUUAGAUAUCACGAAGAACUCCGAUUGCGAAGGCAGCCUGCUAAGCUGCAACUGACAUUGAGGCUCGAAAGUGUGGGUAUCAAACAGGAUUAGAUACCCUGGUAGUCCACACGGUAAACGAUGAAUACUCGCUGUUUGCGAUAUACUGCAAGCGGCCAAGCGAAAGCGUUAAGUAUUCCACCUGGGGAGUACGCCGGCAACGGUGAAACUCAAAGGAAUUGACGGGGGCCCGCACAAGCGGAGGAACAUGUGGUUUAAUUCGAUGAUACGCGAGGAACCUUACCCGGGCUUAAAUUGCAGAUGAAUUACGGUGAAAGCCGUAAGCCGCAAGGCAUCUGUGAAGGUGCUGCAUGGUUGUCGUCAGCUCGUGCCGUGAGGUGUCGGCUUAAGUGCCAUAACGAGCGCAACCCUUGUUGUCAGUUACUAACAGGUUCCGCUGAGGACUCUGACAAGACUGCCAUCGUAAGAUGUGAGGAAGGUGGGGAUGACGUCAAAUCAGCACGGCCCUUACGUCCGGGGCUACACACGUGUUACAAUGGGGGGUACAGAGGGCCGCUACCACGCGAGUGGAUGCCAAUCCCCAAAACCUCUCUCAGUUCGGACUGGAGUCUGCAACCCGACUCCACGAAGCUGGAUUCGCUAGUAAUCGCGCAUCAGCCACGGCGCGGUGAAUACGUUCCCGGGCCUUGUACACACCGCCC
rnacentral:rRNA from 1 species